CCUUGCCAGUAUAAUGGUUAUACUACUUGGCUUGUAAUAGAGUGGGUUCGGGUUCGAAUCCCGAAAAAGGCAAGGA